CGGGCAUGCUCUAUCUCGACAUCGUGCGCAGCCCUUAUGCCCAUGCAACGAUCAAGAACAUCGACAUCUCAAAAGCCACUGCGAUUCCCGGUGUGCUUGCCGUGAUCACCGGCAAAGAUCUGGAGAAAUACAACCUACACUGGAUGCCGACGCUCAUGUCCGACACGCAGAUGGUCCUGCCGGUGGACAAGGUGAUGUACCAGGCGCAGGAAGUCGCGGCAGUGUUGGCGACGGACCGUUACGUCGCCGCGGAUGGAGUUGAAGCGGUCGAAGUUGACUACGAUCCUUUACCCGUAGUUGUCGAUCCCAAGAAAGCACUCUUACCUGAUGCGCCAGUCUUGCGCACCGACAAGAAGGACAAAAAAGACAAUCACAUCUGGCACUGGGAGUGGGGUAAUCGCGACGCUACCGAUCAACUUUUUCGCGAUGCAGAAGUCACUGUCAAAGAAGACAUUUACAUUCCGCGCAUUCACGUUUCAUCGAUCGAAACGUGCGGUUGCGUCGCGCAUUUCGAUAAGGUCAAGGGAAAAUUGACAGUUUGGAUGACGACGCAAGCUCCACACGCGAUCCGCACAGUGUUCGCGCUGGUUGCCGGACAUGUUGGUCUUUCGGAAGAAAAGAUUCAGAUUAUUGCGCCUGACAUCGGCGGCGGCUUUGGCGGUAAGGUCCCUGUGUAUCCGGGUUAUGUAAUCGCAGUCGCAGCUUCAGUAUUAACGGGCAAACCAGUCAAAUGGAUCGAAGAUCGAAUGGAGAACCUGCAGGCCGAUUCAUUUGCUCGCGACUAUCACAUCACUGCCGAACUUGCAGGUAAUAAGGACGGCAAGCUCACUGCGCUUCGGAUCAAGACGAUCGCAGACCACGGCUACACCGACGCUGCUGCGAAUCCUU
rnacentral:misc_RNA from 1 species